rnacentral:rRNA from 1 species
CGAAUGCUGACAUAAGUAACGAUAAAGCGGGUGAAAAGCCCGCUCGCCGGAAGACCAAGGGUUCCUGUCCAACGUUAAUCGGGGCAGGGUGAGUCGACCCCUAAGGCGAGGCCGAAAGGCGUAGUCGAUGGGAAACAGGUUAAUAUUCCUGUACUUGGUGUUACUGCGAAGGGGGGACGGAGAAGGCUAUGUUGGCCGGGCGACGGUUGUCCCGGUUUAAGCGUGUAGGCUGGUUUUCCAGGCAAAUCCGGAAAAUCAAGGCUGAGGCGUGAUGACGAGGCACUACGGUGCUGAAGCAACAAAUGCCCUGCUUCCAGGAAAAGCCUCUAAGCAUCAGGUAACAUCAAAUCGUACCCCAAACCGACACAGGUGGUCAGGUAGAGAAUACCAAGGCGCUUGAGAGAACUCGGGUGAAGGAACUAGGCAAAAUGGUGCCGUAACUUCGGGAGAAGGCACGCUGAUAUGUAGGUGAAGUCCCUCGCGGAUGGAGCUGAAAUCAGUCGAAGAUACCAGCUGGCUGCAACUGUUUAUUAAAAACACAGCACUGUGCAAACACGAAAGUGGACGUAUACGGUGUGACGCCUGCCCGGUGCCGGAAGGUUAAUUGAUGGGGUUAGCGCAAGCGAAGCUCUUGAUCGAAGCCCCGGUAAACGGCGGCCGUAACUAUAACGGUCCUAAGGUAGCGAAAUUCCUUGUCGGGUAAGUUCCGACCUGCACGAAUGGCGUAAUGAUGGCCAGGCUGUCUCCACCCGAGACUCAGUGAAAUUGAACUCGCUGUGAAGAUGCAGUGUACCCGCGGCAAGACGGAAAGACCCCGUGAACCUUUACUAUAGCUUGACACUGAACAUUGAGCCUUGAUGUGUAGGAUAGGUGGGAGGCUUUGAAGUGUGGACGCCAGUCUGCAUGGAGCCGACCUUGAAAUACCACCCUUUAAUGUUUGAUGUUCUAACGUUGACCCGUAAUCCGGGUUGCGGACAGUGUCUGGUGGGUAGUUUGACUGGGGCGGUCUCCUCCUAAAGAGUAACGGAGGAGCACGAAGGUUGGCUAAUCCUGGUCGGACAUCAGGAGGUUAGUGCAAUGGCAUAAGCCAGCUUGACUGCGAGCGUGACGGCGCGAGCAGGUGCGAAAGCAGGUCAUAGUGAUCCGGUGGUUCUGAAUGGAAGGGCCAUCGCUCAACGGAUAAAAGGUACUCCGGGGAUAACAGGCUGAUACCGCCCAAGAGUUCAUAUCGACGGCGGUGUUUGGCACCUCGAUGUCGGCUCAUCACAUCCUGGGGCUGAAGUAGGUCCCAAGGGUAUGGCUGUUCGCCAUUUAAAGUGGUACGCGAGCUGGGUUUAGAACGUCGUGAGACAGUUCGGUCCCUAUCUGCCGUGGGCGCUGGAGAACUGAGGGGGGCUGCUCCUAGUACGAGAGGACCGGAGUGGACGCAUCACUGGUGUUCGGGUUGUCAUGCCAAUGGCACUGCCCGGUAGCUAAAUGCGGAAGAGAUAAGUGCUGAAAGCAUCUAAGCACGAAACUUGCCCCGAGAUGAGUUCUCCCUGACUCCUUGAGAGUCCUGAAGGAACGUUGAAGACGACGACGUUGAUAGGCCGGGUGUGUAAGCGCAGCGAUGCGUUGAGCUAACCGGUA